rnacentral:rRNA from 1 species
AGCAUUAUACCGUGAAACUGCGAAUGGCUCAUUAAAUCAGUUAUCGUUUAUUUGAUAGUACCUUACUACUUGGAUAACCGUGGUAAUUCUAGAGCUAAUACAUGCUGAAAACCCCGACUUCGGAAGGGGUGUAUUUAUUAGAUAAAAAACCAAUGCCCUCCGGGGCUCCUUGGUGAUUCAUAAUAACUUCUCAGAUCGCAUGGCCUUGCGCCGGCGACGGUUCAUUCAAAUUUCUGCCCUAUCAACUUUCGAUGGUAAGGUAUUGGCUUACCAUGGUUUCAACGGGUAACGGGGAAUUAGGGUUCGAUUCCGGAGAGGGAGCCUGAGAAACGGCUACCACAUCCAAGGAAGGCAGCAGGCGCGCAAAUUACCCAAUCCCGACACGGGGAGGUAGUGACAAUAAAUACUGAUACAGGGCUCUUUUGGGUCUUGUAAUUGGAAUGAGUACAAUUUAAACCUCUUAACGAGGAACAAUUGGAGGGCAAGUCUGGUGCCAGCAGCCGCGGUAAUUCCAGCUCCAAUAGCGUAUAUUAAAGUUGUUGCAGUUAAAAAGCUCGUAGUUGAAACUUUGGCCUGGCUGGCAGGUCCGCCUCACCGCGUGCACUUGUCCGGCCGGGCCUUUUCUUCUGGAGAACCGCAUGCCCUUCACUGGGUGUGUUGGGGACCAGGACUUUUACUUUGAAAAAAUUAGAGUGUUCAAAGCAGGCCUUUGCUCGGAUACGUUAGCAUGGAAUAAUAGAAUAGGACGUGCGGUCCUAUUUUGUUGGUUUCUAGGACCGCCGUAAUGAUUAAUAGGGACAGUCGGGGGCAUCAGUAUUCAAUUGUCAGAGGUGAAAUUCUUGGAUUUAUUGAAGACUAACUACUGCGAAAGCAUUUGCCAAGGAUGUUUUCAUUAAUCAGUGAACGAAAGUUAGGGGAUCGAAGACGAUCAGAUACCGUCGUAGUCUUAACCAUAAACUAUGCCGACUAGGGAUCGGGCGGUGUUAUUAUUUUGACUCGCUCGGCACCUUACGAGAAAUCAAAGUGUU